AUUGUACUGACCUUGUUAAUCCUCCUUUCCCAUUGCAGACUGGGGAUUUUUCAUUUCGGAAGACAAAUUAUCUUUCGGGAAAAUUGGAAUGACGAGAAAGAGCAGGCAUGGUACUUGGCUGUGUUUCCUCCCUGGAGAACUGACUCGGGGGAGAACAGUUAAGUGGUUCACCUUCAUCAAAAUGGACCAUGUUUGUUCCCAUCAGACAGCUAGAGAGAGAGGAAGGAUUCCUGUUGGCAUGCGCAUUGGUAAAAGUUGGAUCUCACUCUGAACAUAAGGAUCUGAAUUGCAUCUAUUGGCAGGACUAAAAGCAGUGCUAUGUCAAGAUAGUGUAACAACCAGGGAGUUGCAGAUGCCAAGCACAGACCCACUUCUCCAGCGGAAGGCAGUGACAUGACCCAAAUGGAAGCACAAGGCUCAUAUGGUUACAUUCAAUGAUCAGUUCUCCAUGGACGGAUUGUGACCCCCCAGAAAGGUUACAAAGGGAGGAGAAUAAUCCAGAGGCAGUUCAUCUGGAGAGCCAUAAGCAAGGCAAACCGUCUCCAUCCUGCCCUGCACAAAUGAAGCCACCUAUCCUGCUCUCUCUGCAAUAUCGAGUCUGUACUGGGGGGCAUUGCCACAAUGCACGUGGUUUUCAUCACUGCUAA
rnacentral:lncRNA from 1 species